ensembl:snRNA U6 U6 spliceosomal RNA
AUACUAAAAUUGGAACAUAUACUAAAAUUGGAACAGAGAAGAUUAGCAUGGCCCCUGUGCAAGGAUGACAUGCAAAUUUGUGAAGAGUUCCAUAUUUUU